UCAGGUCGGUAUUUUAUAGAACUGAGAGAUAACCUCGACCUUCAGGUCGGUAUUUAGGAGAUUUUAUCUCUAUUUAUGUCUCUUGGAGUUCUACUAAUUUAGAGAAUUAGAUUUUAAAGAGAUCUUAUCUCUAUGCCCCUCGGGGUGUUGGGAAAUGUGUCCCAAAAAGUCAAUCGUCAAGCUGUUGAUGGUUGAGCAACCAAGUAUUAUAAUUGAUUUGUUAAUAAAUAAAAUAUAUUUGGCAUCUUCA
rnacentral:lncRNA from 1 species